UAUGCUUAAAGAUGAGCUUGCGCCACAUUAGUUUGUUGGUGGGGUAAUGGCCUACCAAGACGAUGAUGUGUAGCUGGACUGAGAGGUCGAACAGCCACAUUGGGACUGAGACACGGCCCAAACUCCUACGGGAGGCAGCAGUAGGGAAUUUUCGGCAAUGGAGGAAACUCUGACCGAGCAACGCCGCGUGAACGAUGAAGUAUUUCGGUAUGUAAAGUUCUUUUAUUGAAGAAGAAAAAAUAGUGGAAAAACUAUCUUGACGUUAUUCAAUGAAUAAGCCCCGGCUAACUAUGUGCCAGCAGCCGCGGUAAGACAUAGGGGGCGAGCGUUAUCCGGAAUUAUUGGGCGUAAAGGGUGCGUAGGCGGUUAGGAAAGUCUAUAAUUUAAUUUCAGUGCUUAACGCUGUCUUGUUAUAGAAACUACCUUGACUAGAGUUAGAUAGAGGCAAGCGGAAUUCCAUGUGUAGCGGUAAAAUGUGUAAAUAUAUGGAGGAACACCAGAAGCGUAGGCGGCUUGCUGGGUCUUGACUGACGCUGAGGCACGAAAGCGUGGGUAGCAAACAGGAUUAGAUACCCUGGUAGUCCACGCCGUAAACGAUGAGUACUAAGUGUCGGGAUAAAACUCGGUACUGAAGUUAACACAUUAAGUACUCCGCCUGAGUAGUACGUACGCAAGUAUGAAACUUAAAGGAAUUGACGGGACUCCGCACAAGCGGUGGAUCAUGUUGUUUAAUUCGAAGAUACACGAAAAAUCUUACCAGGUCUUGACAUGCUCUGCAAAGCUAUAGAAAUAUAGUGGAGGUUAUCAGGGACACAGGUGGUGCAUGGUUGUCGUCAGUUCGUGUCGUGAGAUGUUAGGUUAAGUCCUAAAACGAGCGCAACCCUUGUCGUUAGUUACCAGCACGUAAUGGUGGGCACUUUAACGAGACUGCCAAUUAAACAUUGGAGGAAGGUGAGGAUUACGUCAAAUCAUCAUGCCCCUUAUGAUCUGGGCUACAAACGUGAUACAAUGGCUGUUACAAAGAGUAGCUGAAGCGCGAGUUUUUAGCCAAUCUCAAAAAAGCAGUCUCAGUUCGGAUUGAA
rnacentral:rRNA from 1 species